AGAGUUUGAUUCUGGCUCAGGAUGAACGCUAGCGACAGGCUUAACACAUGCAAGUCGAGGGGCAGCGGGGGCGUAGCAAUAUGCCUGCCGGCGACCGGCGCACGGGUGAGUAACACGUAUGUAACCUGCCCUAUGCAGGGGGAUAACCCGGAGAAAUCCGGCCUAAUACCGCGUAACACCUUAGGGGAGCAUUCUCUUGAGGUUAAAGGAGAGAUCCGGCAUAGGAUGGACAUGCGUCGCAUUAGGUAGACGGCGGGGUAACGGCCCACCGUGCCGACGAUGCGUAGGGGUUCUGAGAGGAAGGCCCCCCACACUGGUACUGAGACACGGACCAGACUCCUACGGGAGGCAGCAGUGAGGAAUAUUGGUCAAUGACCGAGAGGCUGAACCAGCCAAGUCGCGUGAGGGAAGAAUGUCCUAAGGAUUGUAAACCUCUUUUGUCGGGGAGCAAAAAGGCCCUGCGGAGUCGUAUUGAGAGUACCCGAAGAAAAAACAUCGGCUAACUCCGUGCCAGCCAGCCGCGGCAAUACGGAGGAUGCAAGCGUUAUCCGGAUUUAUUGGGUUUAAAGGGUGCACAGGCGGGCGUGUCAAGCAAGCGGUAAAAUAGCGGGGCUCAUCCCCGUCGAUCCGUUUGAACUGGCGCGCUGGAGUUCAGGAGAGGUAGGCGGAAUUCGUGGUGUAGCGGUGAAAUGCAUAGAUAUCUCGAAGAACUCCGAUCGCGAAGGCAGCUUACCAGUCUGCGACUGACGCUCAGGCACGAAAGUGUGGGUAUCGAACAGGAUUAGAUACCCUGGUAGUCCACACAGUAAACGAUGAGCGCUAUGUGUCCGGGUCGCGAUGAGACUUGGGUGCCCGAGCGAAAGCGUUAAGCGCUUCCACCUGGGGGAGUAUGCCGGCAACGGUGAAACUCAAAGGAAUUGACGGGGGCCCGCACAAGCGGAGGAACAUGUGAUUUAAUUGGAUGAUACGCGAGGAACACUUACCCGGGCUCAAACGACUCAGGAAUAUAUUGGAAACGAUGUAGCCAGCAAUGGUCUGAGUCGAGGUGCUGCAUGGUUGUCGUCAGCUCGUGCCGUGAGGUGUCGGUUUAAGUGCCAUAACGAGCGCAACCCCUACCGCCAGUUGCCAACGGGUAAAGCCGGGAACUCUGGCGGGACUGCCGGCGCAAGCUGUGAGGAAGGCGGGGAUGACGUCAAAUCAGCACGGCCCUUACGUCCGGGGCGACACACGUGUUACAAUGGCAGGUACAGCGGGAAGCCACCUGGUGACAGGGAGCGGAACCCGAAAGCCUGUCUCAGUUCGGAUUGGAGUCUGCAACUCGACUGCAUGAAGCUGGAAUCGCUAGUAAUCGCGGAUCAGAAUGCCGCGGUGAAUACGUUCCCGGGUCUUGUACACACCGCCCGUCA
rnacentral:rRNA from 1 species